GCGUUUUGUGGCCCGGAGUGGAAUCCAAUUGGGUGGGAGUUUCAAGACUUAAAGGUACUCCUUAUUGCACAUACAAAUCUGAAACGAUGGAAUGCAAAUUUUCAGCAUUUCCCAGUUUUGGAGCGCCUAAUCCUAAGAUAUUGUUGGGACUUGAAAAAAGUUCCAAUUGGUUUUGCAAAAAUUCGAACACUGAAACUUAUUGAGUUAGACAGUUGCUAUUCUUCUAUUGUGACUUCUGCAAACCAGAUUUCUUCUGCAAAAAUAUUAUCAUUUCACAGUAUGUCUGAUCGAACACUUCAUGUUCGUCAUUUUGGAACUAAGGUUGAAUGGCCAAACAAUGAAAGCUCAGAAGAAGAAAGCUAGUAUGGAAAGCUCUCCAAAAGCAAUUCUAAAAAUAUUUGAAGGUGGUGUUGAAGGCUCUAAGAAGAAUGUAACUGUGGAAUUUGUUAAUUAUGAGCUUUCUGGCAUGUCUUUCAUGGGUCUUAUGACUUGUUUUCUUGUGGACCUUUACGAGAAAAACUUUGUUCAUUGGUACCCUGAACCCCGGGUUUGUGCUCCAGCUAAUAGCGAGUUUAGCUUCUAUAUAAAGGACCAUUUUGGGAGUUUAGCUUCUGUAAACACCAUUUUUGGGAGCUUUCCUGAUACCUGUUGUUUUAUUCACAUGGUUUGAAUUCAAAAUCAGGAAGAAAGCUUUAGAACAAUAGAAGGCUGCUUGUGCUGAUCAAACUUCUAACCAUAGAUUUUCCCACUUUCUCUAGUUGUAUGUGUAACUUUCAUUCUCUGUACCAACAACUGAGAAGUGCAGAAUUUAGAAAAAUAUGUUUGACUUUCACCAA